UACGUAGGGCGCAAGCGUUAUCCGGAAUUAUUGGGCGUAAAGAGCUCGUAGGCGGUUUGUCGCGUCUGCCGUGAAAGUCCGGGGCUCAACUCCGGAUCUGCGGUGGGUACGGGCAGACUAGAGUGAUGUAGGGGUGACUGGAAUUCCUGGUGUAGCGGUGGAAUGCGCAGAUAUCAGGAGGAACACCGAUGGCGAAGGCGGGUCUCUGGGCAUUAACUGACGCUGAGGAGCGAAAGCAUGGGGAGCGAACAGG
rnacentral:rRNA from 1 species